UACGUGCCAGCANCCGCGGUAAUACGUAGGUCCCGAGCGUUNUCCGGAUUUAUUGGGCGUAAAGGGAGCGCAGGCGNUCAGGAAAGUCUGGAGUAAAAGGCUAUGGCUCAACCAUAGUGUGCUCUGGAAACUNUCUGACUUGAGUGCAGAAGGGGAGAGUGGGAUUCCAUGUGUAGCGGUGAAAUGCGUAGAUAUAUGGAGGAACACCAGUGGCGAAAGCGGCUCUNUGGUCUGUCACUGACGCUGAGGCUCGAAAGCGUGGGUAGCGAACAGGAUUAGAUACCCUGGUAGUCCACGCCGUAAACGAUGAGUGCUAGGUGUUAGGCCCUUUCCGGGGCUUAGUGCCGGAGCUAACGCAAUAAGCACUCCGCCUGGGGAGUACGACCGCAAGGUUGAAACUCAAAGGAAUUGACGGGGGCCCGCACAAGCGGUGGAGCAUGUGGUUUAAUUCGAAGCAACGCGAAGAACCUUACCAGGUCUUGACAUCCCGAUGCUAUUCUUAGAGAUAGGAAGUUACUUCGGUACAUCGGAGACAGGUGGUGCAUGGUUGUCGUCAGCUCGUGUCGUGAGAUGUUGGGUUAAGUCCCGCAACGAGCGCAACCCUUAUUGUUAGUUGCCAUCAUUAAGUUGGGCACUCUAGCGAGACUGCCGGUAAUAAACCGGAGGAAGGUGGGGAUGACGUCAAAUCAUCAUGCCCCUUAUGACCUGGGCUACACACGUGCUACAAUGGUCGGUACAACGAGUUGCGAGCCGGUGACGGCAAGCUAAUCUCUGAAAGCCGAUCUCAGUUCGGAUUGGAGGCUGCAACUCGCCUCCAUGAAGUCGGAAUCGCUAGUAAUCGCGGAUCAGCACGCCGCGGUGAAUACGUUCCCGGGCCUUGUACACACCGCCCGUCACACCACGAGGGUUUGUAACACCCGAAGUCGGUGAGGUAACCUUUUAGGG
rnacentral:rRNA from 1 species